rnacentral:rRNA from 3 species
GUUAUAGGGUCAAGCGAAUAAGUGCAUGUGGUGGAUGCCUUGGCGAUCACAGGCGAUGAAGGACGUAGUAGCUUGCGAAAAGCUGCGGGGAGCUGGCAAACGAGCUUUGAUCCGCAGAUGUCCGAAUGGGGAAACCCGGCCCGUAUGGGUCAUCCCUUGCUGAAUACAUAGGCAAGGGAGGCGAACGCAGUGAACUGAAACAUCUAAGUAGCUGCAGGAAAAGAAAUCAACCGAGAUUCCCAAAGUAGUGGCGAGCGAAAUGGGAACAGCCUUGUACUCUUUAGCAGUAUUGUUAGCGGAACGGAAUGGAAAGUCCGGCCAUAGUGGGUGAUAGCCCCGUACGCGAAAACAGUAUUGUGGAACUAGGUGUACGACAAGUAGGGCGGGACACGUGAAAUCCUGUCUGAAGAUGGGGGGACCAUCCUCCAAGGCUAAAUACUCGUGAUCGACCGAUAGUGAACCAGUACCGUGAGGGAAAGGCGAAAAGAACCCCGGGAGGGGAGUGAAAUAGAUCCUGAAACCGCAUGCAUACAAACAGUCGGAGCCUGGAAACGGGUGACGGCGUACCUUUUGUAUAAUGGGUCAGCGACUUACAUUCAGUGGCAAGCUUAACCGAUUAGGGAAGGCGUAGCGAAAGCGAGUCCGAAUAGGGCGUUCAGUCGCUGGGUGUAGACCCGAAACCAAGUGAUCUAUCCAUGGCCAGGUUGAAGGUGCGGUAACACGUACUGGAGGACCGAACCCACUAACGUUGAAAAGUUAGGGGAUGAGCUGUGGAUAGGGGUGAAAGGCUAAACAAACUUGGAAAUAGCUGGUUCUCUCCGAAAACUAUUUAGGUAGUGCCUCGUGUCUCACCUUCGGGGGUAGAGCACUGUCAUGGUUGGGGGGUCUAUUGCUGAUUACCCCGCCAUAGCAAACUCCGAAUACCGAAGAGUGCAAUCACGGGAGACAGACAUCGGGUGCUAACGUCCGGUGUCAAGAGGGAAACAACCCAGACCGCCAGCUAAGGUCCCUAAGAUUGGCUAAGUGGGAAACGAAGUGGGAAGGCUAAAACAGUCAGGAGGUUGGCUUAGAAGCAGCCACCCUUUAAAGAAAGCGUAAUAGCUCACUGAUCGAGUCGUCCUGCGCGGAAGAUGUAACGGGGCUAAGCCAGUCACCGAAGCUGCGGAUGCACGUAAGUGCAUGGUAGGAGAGCGUUCUGUAAGCCUGUGAAGGUGUCUUGUAAAGGAUGCUGGAGGUAUCAGAAGUGCGAAUGCUGACAUGAGUAGCGAUAAAGGGGGUGAAAGGCCCCCUCGCCGUAAGCCCAAGGUUUCCUACGCAACGUUCAUCGGCGUAGGGUGAGUCGGCCCCUAAGGCGAGGCAGAGAUGCGUAGCUGAUGGGAAGCAGGUUAAUAUUCCUGCACCGUCGUAUGAUGCGAUGGGGGGACGGAUCGCGGAAGGUUGUCCGGGUGUUGGAAGUCCCGGUCCCUACAUUGGAGAUGGCACUUAGGCAAAUCCGGGUGCGUGAUUCAAGGGUGUGGGGCGAGCGACGUUAGGUCGCGAAGCAAUUGGAAGUGGUUCCAAGAAAAGCCUCUAAGCUUCAGUCAUACGAGACCGUACCGCAAACCGACACAGGUGGGCGAGAUGAGUAUUCUAAGGCGCUUGAGAGAACUCGGGAGAAGGAACUCGGCAAAUUGGUACCGUAACUUCGGGAUAAGGUACGCCCUUGUAGUUUGACUGGCUCGCGCCAGAAGGAUGAAGGGGUUGCAAUAAAAUGGUGGCUGCGACUGUUUAAUAAAAACACAGCACUCUGCAAACACGAAAGUGGACGUAUAGGGUGUGACGCCUGCCCGGUGCCGGAAGAUUAAAUGAUGGGGUGCAAGCUCUUGAUUGAAGUCCCGGUAAACGGCGGCCGUAACUAUAACGGUCCUAAGGUAGCGAAAUUCCUUGUCGGGUAAGUUCCGACCUGCACGAAUGGCGUAACGAUGGCCACACUGUCUCCUCCCGAGACUCAGCGAAGUUGAAGUGUUUGUGAUGAUGCAAUCUCCCCGCGGCUAGACGGAAAGACCCCAUGAACCUUUACUGUAGCUUUGCAUUGGACUUUGAACCGAUCUGUGUAGGAUAGGUGGGAGGCUUUGAAACCGGGACGCUAGUUUCGGUGGAGCCGACCUUGAAAUACCACCCUGGUUUGUUUGAGGUUCUAACCUUGGCCCGUGAAUCCGGGUCGGGGACAGUGCAUGGUAGGCAGUUUGACUGGGGCGGUCUCCUCCCAAAGUGUAACGGAGGAGUUCGAAGGUACGCUUGGUACGGUCGGACAUCGUACCUAAAGUGCAAUGGCAAAAGCGUGCUUAACUGCGAGACCGACAAGUCGAGCAGGUGCGAAAGCAGGACAUAGUGAUCCGGUGGUUCUGUAUGGAAGGGCCAUCGCUCAACGGAUAAAAGGUACUCUGGGGAUAACAGGCUGAUACCGCCCAAGAGUUCAUAUCGACGGCGGUGUUUGGCACCUCGAUGUCGGCUCAUCUCAUCCUGGGGCUGUAGCCGGUCCCAAGGGUAUGGCUGUUCGCCAUUUAAAGAGGUACGUGAGCUGGGUUUAAAACGUCGUGAGACAGUUUGGUCCCUAUCUGCCGUGGGCGUUGGAAUCUUGACGGGGGCUGCUCCUAGUACGAGAGGACCGGAGUGGACGUACCGCUGGUGUACCUGUUGUCUCGCCAGAGGCAUCGCAGGGUAGCUAUGUACGGAAGAGAUAACCGCUGAAAGCAUCUAAGCGGGAAACUCGCCUGAAGAUGAGGAUUCCCUGGAGACUUGAUCUCCCUGAAGGGUCGUUCGAGACCAGGACGUUGAUAGGCUGGGUGUGGAAGCGCAGUAAUGUGUUCAGCUAACCAGUACUAAUUGCCCGUGCGGCUUGAUCCUAUAACC